UGGAGAAGGUAGUGGAGAAGGACAUGGAGGUGGAGAAGGAGGUGAAGAAGGAUGUGAAGGAGGUUGAGAAACAAAAAGAAAACAAAGUACACCAGGUUUUUCAGGUCCAGGACCAGCUCUUCCAACCUUCCCAAGGAUGACAGAGCCCCACCUGAGCUGCCUGCAUCUCUCACACACACAGAGCAAAACAUUAGAUAUAUUUGCAUAAAGCAAUACUUGCAAUGAAAAAAAAUGGAAUUGCUUGGAAAAUAUG